GCUGUAACAGUUUAGGCUGUGGCCACUGAGGGAAGACUUUAAGUUAACCUCUGUAGUGACCAUGUGGAAGUCCUGACCUUGCUUGCAGACUUGACCUCUGGAUAUGACAAGCGCAUGAAAAGAAGUGCUGAAUCAGCGAAUAGAGUGAAGGAACAAUCAAGAAGAGAUGGCUGCUGCUGUGACUCUCUAGGUCAUUACCUCUCCUGCUGCAAAGGCUGCAUGACACUAAGCUUACAGGAUUGAGAAGCAACUACAAAAUAAGAAGAAAUUCAAUUUGAAGACUGAAGAAACAUUAGGUUUAUCUUACGAAUUUCUGAAAUAUAUUCUGUAAACAUCACUGAUUCCAUUUAUCUCUUGCAAAAGAAACCGAACCAAGACAAAGAUGAAAAAAAUCUUUAGAGGUAUCUAAAUCUACCAAGACCAAGGAAGCAUAACUGACACUAAUGGCAUGCUGCAGGUAAAUCUAUUAAAUAACUUAAUCAUUAGUAGUCGCUACAAAUGAUCAGCCUUUGCUCUAUACUAAUAAGCCGAAUAUUAUACUAGCAACUGGGUAUACAAAACAUAUCAUGUUUCUACAGCGAACAACUUAGUGAUAAACCUACUCAAGAGUACAUACUUCUUUAUGUACCCAUAUGAACAUAGAAUGCUAUGGAAUGUAAAGAAGUAUGUACUUUUGGUAGGUGAUAAACUACCAAGUGGGAAACAGAUAUCUGACAGCAGAAGAAAAGCCUGUUUCAUUUGAUGUGAAUGAACUUAGCUUUAAAGAUAUAUGAUUGUUGCCAAUACUAACACCACAAAAACAUAACCACUUCUUAAAUAGAAAAAGCUAAAUGUCGUUAAACAAUUUGUAGAGAAAAGUUCCAAACUUAAAACUAUGAGAUUCCUUUUAAACCUUGAGUUUAUAUUUCACAUUUUAAAAUGUAAUUACUUUCAUAAAUAAAAUCAAACUAUCAAAAAAUAAAACCAAAACAAUAUUACUAGCACAAAAGAAUAAACGAUACAUAGGACCUAUUUUCAAUCCCCAAAAUUUGAUCUUAAUUUAAAAUAAUCAGGUCAUGCUGA